GCCGCUGUGGUGGAAUUGGCAGACACGUACGACUCAAAAUCGUAUGGCCUCACGGCCAUGUCGGUUCGACCCCGACCAGCGGCACAA
rnacentral:tRNA from 3 species